UGGAGCCGCUUUGCGGUCCGUGAGGUUCAUGGGACUGACAGUGAGUUCUCUAGGGACUGAGGCUCUGUGUGCAUUGUCGUCUGUUUUCAGCUAACUGAUGCUGGAGGCUGCAUUAAUAUUUUGUGGUUCAGUAAGUGUUCUGUGUUGCUGUCCUGUACAAGCCGCUGGCGAGAACUGCAGUGCUUUCUGUGGUGGGCUGGGGAAAGCACAAAAUAGAUUUCAACAGAGAUUUCUCCAUAGCUUUGAAGAGCUAUUUGGGCAGCAAUAUGAGUGAUAGUCAGGGAAAGAAGGUUCAAGAUACCAGUACUCCUAAAACGGUGACUGCACCAGGGAUGAUUGUCAAGAGGAGGUAUACCUGCAGUUUUACCAACAGAUGCAGAAAGAAUGAAACACCUUCUGACUGUCAUUGUUGCCAUCAGCAAGGAGCAAAACACCUGCUAAAGGAUUUGGACUUCUGGGAUAUUCUUGACACCAGCCUGUGAAAUGGCCACUGCUUGGAGGGACACUUGGCCUUUUGCCAAUGCCAGCUGUUCAUGUUAAACCAGUACAGCACCAAUGGGGAGCUUAACUAAGAAGACACUGUUGACACCAUUGGCAAUAGUAGAAGUACUCUAACCACACCUGCAUCGCAUCUUCUGUCACACUCCAGCCUGUGAGAACUUCCGAAAAAUUUAAGAAGGCUUUUGUAUUAAAAUAAAUAUUAAUGAAUAUCUGUGUUGUACCUUUGUAAUUUUAAAUUAGAAGCUGCUAAACAGUCACAAAAUAGUUACCUGGUUUAUGCAGUUGUCACCAAUUUCACCUUGUGGUUCAACUUCAUCUGACUGUGGGCAGGUCUGGUCAGACCUGGACUUCAGUGGAUGUUGGAUGGGAUGGAUGGAGUUUUUCUAAAUUCCUGGAAAGUCCCAUCAGUUGUUUUUGCGUUUUACCUUAUAGAUAGAUGAAGGUGAAGGGACUGACUUCAGCCUUCAACCAGAAUUAUUGGUGUUACUUGCUCACCUAACAACCGACAGCUUUGAAACAGUUUUAUGUUGAUCUCUUGAAUAUUGAAUUUGCUUGGGUUUGGGGUUUUUUGUAUUUUCAACUGUUUCUUUUCCAUUAUAACUUGAAGUUAUAACAAUGGGAAAAUUAAGGAAAAUAUAGAAAUAACUGUAGUUAAAAAAGCAGUCAAGUUACUUAAUGUAAGGAACCACCUUAAUCUGUAGUUACAUACAAGCCAAUCAAAUACCAGAUUUAAAAAAUAUUUUUAGCAGCCAUUCUACUGAAAUAUCAAGUAUACUUGAAUUUAAUACAUGUUUAUUAUUAUUAAUACAAUAAAUACAUUUAAUACACCCUGCAAAAACAGUUAAUAUAGAAGAUAAGUUAUUGCUUAUAGAGAGAACAUAAAGAAACAUUGCUAGAAACAGUUUUUCUUAAAAAUUUUUGUGGAUUUUUCCACCUUCUGAAAGAGGCAAUUACUUUCAUAGAGAAAAUAGUUUAGAUGUAAUGAAGCACACAUCAAGUUACUGAAAGUAACUUCUGUAAUGCAUUACAUAUGUCAUAGGUACUACUUGCAACCAUAAUAGGCACAGUACUUUUGUAAUGUCUUUAAAAAUGUGAAGUAGUUUUUAUUUUACACGUACCCAUACCAGAAAUAUGACAGCUGCUUUUCAUAAUCGAAGGGGAACGUUUCUGCUGGUAGUGAAUAGUGAAGAACUGACUAAUCCGUGUGCUUAUCAGUAUAUCAGAGUAAUUACAUAAUUUUGUUCUUUCCUUUUGCAAGACAGGCUGUCUAAUGCUUUCACUGUGGAUUGUGUAUUAGAGUACUUAGUCUAGAAGGUUACACAGUGACUUCAGUGUUGUUUUCCUGAUAGUGCUUGCUUGACUUGCUUUAUCAUAACUUGUUGUCAGAUGUGUUUUCAUUAUUGAAUUUAUUCAUUCUAUGAAGUAAAUCAAUUCAUAAAUUUAAUUUUACCAGGAAACAUUACCAACUGUAGAUCUUAAUUGAGCAAAAUUUUCCUGCAGUGCAAACUGUGGAAAAUAGUCCUGUGCUUGAGAACUAAGUGGUAUCUUUCUAAAAGGCCUGCCAACUUAAUUUUAUCUUGGAGCUUUUUUCAUUCACUUAAUGCGUUAGCUAAAACCAUUAGGAAACUAGCUGUCAGCCCAAGAGGAAGUUAUAUUAUAACUUAUUGUUUUUUAAGACUCUAAUAUCUGUUUUUAAAAAUGUAAGUAUGAUUGCUGUGGUGAUAGUGUAAUGGUAGCGCCCACUUUGAAUAGCAAACUAGUUCUCAAAAUUAUUGCAGCCCACCUAACUCCUACCUAUGCAUUUAUUUGGUCGUUGAUACUACAAUGUCUGAGGGCUUCAUUCACUUAUAAACUACCCUGCCGGUGUCCAUGCGAGAUAGGAGAUUGCCUAGGCUUUCCCAGGGGAACCUGGAAGCUUGUUUCAGAGCUCAGAAUUGAACUAAUUCUCUUGAGCCCCACAGUAGGUCCUUAAUCACAAAAUCAUUCCCACUUCCCCCAAAGGGAUUAAAUGUAAUAACUUUUAUCAUUUAAGAGCUUUUCUUUUUUAACACUUGAGGUUGAGGUUUUGAGGUGAACUUUGCUAAAGAGUUACCUGUCAUGGUGUAAAAUCUUUUUUCAAAGGCAGGCAGUAGGAAGUUGCAGUGCUGCUCUGGCACAUGCAGGGGUUGAUCAGGUCUUGCUGGCCCUGCAGUGGGCUCCAGCCAUGAGUGGAGAGCUGGCAUCUUGUAUGCUUAAACACUAAUCCCUCUGUGUUGUGGCGAAGGUGCUAAAACUAAAUAUCCUAAGGGAAUAGAGUGAAAGAGGUAUGUACCUGCACUGUGAAGAACAGAAGUGAGGCAUGUAAAAAGGUAAAGGGGUGUUAUGUUGCCAUUUUAGCAGUCAGCUUGAGCCUCUGACUUCACAUGUGAAAAGGAAAUAUAAGGGAGCUAAUAAGGCAAAACCAGUUUCACCUGCAUCUGGAUACGAGUGGGGAAUUUCUGUAGAUGUUUAAUUUUCAAGAGAAUUAGGUUUAAUUUAGUAGCCUUGCUGAUGUGAAAUUGGAGAAAAAUAAACCCCAAAAGUUCUAAACUCAACAUGUCUGUGCACAAAGGAAAUUAUGUUUGAAACUUCACUCAUUUAAAUACAGCAAAGAAACCAAACCAACCUAUCCAAAACAACAACAACAAAAACACACCCUGAAACACAAAAACCCAAACUCAAGCUUUGCAGAACAUUGUCAACUAAAUUAAUUGUAACCUCUGAAAUUUUUUUCCUGAGGAAACUUCUGAGCAGCUUAGAGUAGUUUAGAUACUUCUUUCUUUGACCUGCUACGUGCAAGCUCUUGGAAGUGGUCUUAAACUUUACUACAGACCAAUAAAAAUUCUUGUUCAUCCUUCAAUGAGGUGUUUGGGUAAGGUAUACUCAAUUUAAAAUUGGUUAAAAAGGCCAAUGGUCCUUAACAA